AUUGAACGCUGGCGGCAGGCCUAACACAUGCAAGUCGAACGAGUGGCGGACGGGUGAGUAAUGUCUGGGAAACUGCCUGAUGGAGGGGGAUAACUACUGGAAACGGUAGCUAAUAACGCAUACCAUCAGAUGGUACCAGAUGGGACGGGCUUGUUGGUUGGGUAACGGCUCACCAAGGCGACGAUCCCUAUCUGGUCUGAGAGGAUGAACAUCCACACUGGAACUCAGACACGGUCCAGACUCCUACGGGUGGCAGCAGUGGGGAAUAUUGCACAAUGGGCGCAAGCCUGAUGCAGCCAUGCCGCGUGUAUGAAGAAGGCCUUCGGGUUGUAAAGUACUUUCAGCGGGGAGGCGUUACCCGCAGAAGAAGCACCGGCUAACUCCGUGCCAGCAGCCGCGGUAAUUC
rnacentral:rRNA from 1 species